CCCGCUCUAACGGGGUGCCCUUUGUCUUUCGGGAUAAAUGGCUGAGAGGCUUCAUGCCAACCCGAAGAACCUGAUCCGGUUUGUACCGGCGGAGGGAUUAGACGGCACGGUUCA
rnacentral:ncRNA from 2 species